AGGUGCGAACAGCCGGGGGCUCGGAGCUCGCGCCCUGCGCCCCACCCAGGUUGCGGCCGCCCAGGGAGGAAGCGCGUAUAGUGGAUUUUGCUCUGAAGGUUCUCCAGUGGUCUGACUACGAGAUAGUGCGGCUUCAGCUGUGGGAUAUUGCAGGGCAGGAGCGCUUCACCUCUAUGACACGACUGUAUUAUCGGGACGCCUCUGCCUGU
rnacentral:sRNA from 1 species